AGAGUUUGAUCCUGGCUCAGAACGAACGCUGGCGGCAGGCCUAAUACAUGCAAGUCGAGCGCGCCCUUCGGGGUGAGCGGCGGACGGGUGAGUAACGCGUGGGAAUAUGCCCUUCUCUAAGGAAUAGCCUCGGGAAACUGAGAGUAAUACCUUAUACGCCCUUCGGGGGAAAGAUUUAUCGGAGAAGGAUUAGCCCGCGUUAGAUUAGGUAGUUGGUGGGGUAAUGGCCUACCAAGCCUACGAUCUAUAGCUGGUUUGAGAGGAUGAUCAGCCACACUGGGACUGAGACACGGCCCAGACUCCUACGGGAGGCAGCAGUAGGGAAUCUUAGACAAUGGGGGAAACCCUGAUCUAGCCAUGCCGCGUGUGUGAUGAAGGCCUUAGGGUCGUAAAGCACUUUCGCCAGAGAUGAUAAUGACAGUAUCUGGUAAAGAAACCCCGGCUAACUCCGUGCCAGCAGCCGCGGUAAUACGGAGGGGGUUAGCGUUGUUCGGAAUUACUGGGCGUAAAGCGCACGUAGGCGGAUUAGUAAGUUAGAGGUGAAAUCCCAGGGCUCAACCCUGGAACUGCCUUUAAUACUGCUAGUCUUGAGUUCGAGAGAGGUAAGUGGAAUUCCGAGUGUAGAGGUGAAAUUCGUAGAUAUUCGGAGGAACACCAGUGGCGAAGGCGGCUUACUGGCUCGAUACUGACGCUGAGGUGCGAAAGUGUGGGGAGCAAACAGGAUUAGAUACCCUGGUAGUCCACACCGUAAACG
rnacentral:rRNA from 1 species